rnacentral:tRNA from 1 species
GGGGCUCAGUGGUAGAUCAUCUGUUUGGCAUGCAAAAGGUCUCAGGUUCAAUUGUUGGCAUCUCCA